rnacentral:ncRNA from 1 species
AUUAAAAUGUAGACAAGAAAUAGUAGUGAAAGUCGCUUUAUGCAGAGAGCUGAUGGGUGGUGCGAAUCAGUAAAGACGCUUUUGUGAAUCCAUCUUGGAGUGAGUGGAGGAAAUGUGAGUAAUCCGCUUCGGUGUGAGCCGUUAUAUUCUGAAAUUAAGCUGGAGUAUGGGAGAAAUCUCAGACUCAAUUAGGGUGGCAACGCGGUACUUCCGUCCCUUUC